rnacentral:lncRNA from 1 species
ACUGGUUUUUAGCACUGAAAGUUCUAAAUAGAACUUUCUGGGAAUGAGGGGACAGAUAUGAAUGAUGAUGCAUUUCAUUAUUUUUAUUUUUAUUUUUUGAGACAGAGUCUCACUCUGUCGGCCAGGCUGGAGUGCAAUGGCACUGUCUUGGCUCACUACAACCUCUGCCUCCCGGCUUCACGUCAUUCUCCUGCCUCCGCCUCCUGAGUAGCUGGGAUUACAGGUGCCUGUCCUGGGAAGCCCCCUCAGUCCUUGGCGAACCAAGAUGGUUGCUCACUCACCCUGUGUGGCUUUCAGAUGUUUCAGCUCACUCUGUUCCCACGGCAGCCCGUCCUUCAGAGGUGGCUGAGUUCUUCAUGAGACACAUUGCAAGCAGCCCUGGAAAACCUAUAGGAAGAAAAUCUGAACCAGAAACAGUAUGGCAGAAUUGGGAUCUGACUCACAGAGGGAAGAACUUAUAAUUCUUCACAGGUCACAUAGAAGCAUGAGAAUUUGGGUUCAAGCAAGUAAAUUCUAAAUCAGAAUCCAUACAUAAAGUGUUUGCAAUGUCCAGUUAUAUCUCCAUGAUAUUUUCUUUGUGGAAGUUGAUUGUUCUUCCUUACAAUAAAUUGCUUGAAUUGUCUGUCUAUUCAUUUAGCUAUUUCUUUUCUUGUCUUUGCGAUAUUUUUUUUUGUAAGUAAAAAAUUUUCAGACUAAAUAA